ensembl:lincRNA 4930532M18Rik RIKEN cDNA 4930532M18 gene
GCGGUUCAGUAUGCAGGGGAUCUGUUGCGAAAACAACAGACAGCUUCCUUUCAAUAUUUCAUCAUAGAGUCACAUAUUUUUGAUACACGGUAUUUCAAAGUCGACAACCGGGGACAGAAGAUGAGCUCUUUGUGGGGCAGUGAGCCAGACGGAAGCAAGCACCAACCUUUGGAGCUCCCCCUUCGCAUUAUGGAGAUGCCGUCAGCUCACUGGACCACCUGCUUUUCUAUCAGGAAGAUCAGUGUAGACCAUGACUGGGAACAGUUGGAAGGCAGGGUCCUUGUUCUUCAUGGCACCUGAAAGAUAUUCCCAGAUCUCUCCAGUGUUAUUCUGUCUUGAUUUGCCUCUUUCUCUGAAAAAUUGGGGCAGAAGGACCCUCUAUGAUGCAAGAGUGAAGAGAGCUUUUUUCACGCAAGAACAUCAUGUACUUUGAGCCCAUACCUCCAGGCUCUCCAUCCAUCCCCUCUGAGCCCGGUCUCUUCCCACUGGUCUUCUGCGUUUCCCAGACAGCUUCACAUCUAUACUCACAUCAUCC